GCCUCCUUAGCUCAGUGGUAGAGCGUUGGUAUUGUACGUCUAUAAGGGAUGAUGAGUAAAACAUACUUAGAAAACCAAAGGCCGAGAGUUCAAUCCUCUCAAGAGGCA
rnacentral:tRNA from 1 species